rnacentral:rRNA from 1 species
UUAAGACAUAUCUUUUUACCGGUCAAUACGAACAACUGUUUAAAAUCCAAAGAAUUUGGCGGUGUCUCAUUCUAUCAGGGGAACCUGUUACUUAAUUCGAUACUCCACGAAACUAAAUCCAUAUUUUGAAUAAUCAGCCUGUGUACUGCUGUCGCCAGUAAACCUCUAAAAGACAGUUUACAAUUAUAUACCCAUAUUUACGUCAAGUCAAAGUGCAGCCAAUAAUAUGGAGCUAAAUGGGUUACAAUCUACAUACAGAAACGAAUAAAGUAAUUAAAAUACUUUUGAAGGUGGACUUGAUAGUAAUAUUUAAAUUAUAGUAAUAUUAAUUUGUACCUGAGACAUGCACACAUCGCCCGUCACUCUCAUCUUAAGAUU